rnacentral:rRNA from 1 species
AGAAUGGCCGUGGGAGGAAAUGCCCGCGGUUUGACGGUACCUCCAGAGGAAGCACCGGCUAACUCUGUGCCAGCAGCCGCGGUAAUACAGAGGGUGCGAGCGUUGUUCGGAAUUACUGGGCGUAAAGCGCGCGCAGGCGGCCUUUUAAGUCUACCCGUGAAAUGCCGGAGCUCAACUCCGUGCACGCCGGGGGAUACUGGGAGGCUGGAGACAGGUAGAGGCAAGCGGAAUUCCGGGUGUAGCGGUGGAAUGCGUAGAGAUCCGGAAGAACACCUGAGGCGAAGGCGGCUUGCUGGGCCUGAUCUGACGCUGAGGCGCGAAAGCGUGGGGAGCAAACAGGAUUAGAUACCCUGGUAGUCCACGCCGUAAACGAUGGGCACUAGACGCGGGUGGGAUCGACCCCUUCCGUGUCGCAGCUAACGCGAUAAGUGCCCCGCCUGGGGAGUACGGCCGCAAGGCUGAAACUCAAAGGAAUUGACGGGGGCCCGCACAAGCAGCGGAGCAUGUGGUUUAAUUCGAAGCAACGCGAAGAACCUUACCUGGGCUUGACAUGCUGGUGAAACCUCGGUGAAAGCCGAGGCCCUCUUCGGAGCACCAGCACAGGUGCUGCAUGGCUGUCG